rnacentral:rRNA from 1 species
AUAAAUGGCCGCGGUACUUUGACCGUGCUAAGGUAGCGCAAUCAAUUGGUUUUUAAUUGGAGCCAGGUAUGAAUGGAGUUACGGAGUUUGACUGUCUUCUAAUUAUUUUAUCGAAUUUACUAUAUAGGUGAAAAAGCCUAUUAUAAGAAAAAGGACGAGAAGACCCUUAGAGUUUACCCUAAAUAGGAAUAAAUAUAUUUCCAAAAUGGUUUCGUUGGGGCAACGAAGGAGCAGUAAAAUAUAAUAAGCAAUUUAAUCUCCUUAAAACUAUUUAUCGAUUAUUUUAAUAGUAAUUAAACUACCUUAGGGAUAACAGCAUAAUUUUAUUUAUAAGUUUGUGACCUCGAUGUUGGACUGGGAAACUUAACGACUAGCCGUCUUUAAGGUAAGUUCUGUUCGAACUAUUAUUCCC